ensembl:lncRNA
ACUAGUUAUGAGAGAAGAGACCGACCCCCAGCUCACCUCCCUUCAGGUUAUAACAUUUAUUUGCAUGCAUGAAAAAAUGUCAUGAAAUGCCAACUGACACAGGAGACAGAUGUAGCUGCAUUGCCAUCUGUGGAGGUCUUCACAUACAGAUUGAGCAGAAGUUUAGGUAAGGAGGUGUCCAGAAUGGCUUGGGAAUUUCCCUCAUCUUGGGACAAGGAGAUGAACUUCACAAUUCUGUAAGUAUUUUCCUAGUAACUCAGCAAAUUUUUAAAAUAAAAAUUAAUGUCCCCAGGAUGCUGCUUAGACAUUUGAUAUUUAUCAUUAGACAUUUCUUGAUGAAACUGAUAGCUUAAUCAUGCUAUGAAAAAAGAUUGUGUUAGGAUUUUUGAAUUUCUGAUGGAUGUGUUAUUUCCUUCAGAACAGAAUGAUUAUUGAGUGGCAAUAUGGUCUCAUUAUAAAUAAUCAGCUGUAGUUCUACAGCUUUUCUUCUUAAUGAUAUUAAUAAUAUCAUUAAUAACAAUAUUGACAUUGAUAGUAGAAUUUAUUUAUGAUAAAAAUAGCAGAAUGUAAUUACUUCAAACAAAUCAUGCCCUUUGGGAAUAUGGGUUUACUCUUACAGAACUAUAGAAAAUUUAAAAUUUAUCAACUGAUUGCAUUCAGAACAUAUUAUUUACUGAGUUAAUGACAAAUCUGCCUUACUGACAGAUGGAAAAUUUCAGAGGGAGAGAAAAUACAGAAACAUGAUUAAAAACUAAGGAGAUGAUUGUCUUCUAUGUGAUUUCUGAAUUCUUUUUAGUCCUCCAACAGGUAAGGUAUAGAAGUACUAGAAUCAUACAACCAUGGAUUCAUUUGAGGUGGAAGAGACCAAGUAGGGUCAUCUGGUCCAACCUCUCUGCAAUGAGCAGGGACGGGUGCUCAGAGUCCUGCACAGCCUGACAUUGAGUGUCUCCAGAGACAGGGGAUGCCUACCAUCUCUGGGCAAUCUGUGUCAGCUUCUCACCACCUUUACUGUAAAAACCUUAUUAUUAUAUUCAAUCUAAAAGUCCCCCUUUUUAGUUUGCAACCAUUUCCCCUUGUCCUAUCACCACAGACCCUGCUACGGGGUCUGUCUCCUUCUUUCUUACAGCCCCCCUUUAGACACUGAAAGGCCACUCUCUGGUCUCCCUGCAGACUUCUCUCAUCCAGGCUGAACAGCCCCAGCUCUCUCAGCCUAUCCUUGCAGGGGAGGUGCUCUAUCCCUUGGAACAUUUUUGUGGUCCUCCUCUGGAUGUGUUCCAACAUGUCCACAUCUCUCCUGUACUGAGGACAAAAUAGUUUGUAUAAACCUAAGUGUAUUCAUUGGUGUUUAAGCCAUAUUCUAUCUUUAAUUGUCAAAGAAAGGCAAUACUAACAGCUUGGUAGUUUUUAACUUUUCUCUUUCCACUCAUACCCAAAGUAAUAGCAUUCUGAGAGCAUUCACAUGUCAUACCAGGAGCCAUGGAAUGGACAAAGCAGAAUUAAAAGAACAAUAACGGUCUUUGGCAUAGCUAUAUAUUACCUAAAACAACACAAAAUUAUGAUUUCAGGCAUGAGUGCACAAUGCACAUUCCACCUCAGAGGUUUUUCUGAUACACUCCAGCUGAAACAAGCACAUGUCAUCAAUGAAAGAAAAUAGCCCCCUAUUUCAUACCUCUUUGCUUCUUUUUGCCAUUCAGUUACAGCCCAGCCUUUAUAUCUUUACAGUACUCCUGUGAACAAUGAUACUGAUCACAUACAUUCAAGCCCUGACUCAGCAGAGCUCUUAAGUAUAAGAAAGCAUGAUUUAUCUUGUUGGGUUUAAUAUGAUGCUUGAACAAUAAGGUUUUGUGUGUGUGUGUGUGUGUGUGUGUGUGUCUUUUAUUUUGUUUGUUUUCCUCCCUGAAUCAAGGUUUUCCUCAUGUGAGAGAAACAGAGCUCCACUCUGGAUUGUUACAACUCUAAUGGGGUAACAACCAUUUGCCAUAAAACUGUGGUUUACUAAUAUAACAAGAUGUUAAAAAUAAAGACAGCUGGACGUGCAGGAAAUUCCAGAGUUCUCUUAUGAAUCCACAAAAGAGAAUACAGUUUUCCUC